CCUACGGGAGGCAGCAGUGAGGAAUAUUGGUCAAUGGGCGCGAGCCUGAACCAGCCAAGUAGCGUGAAGGAUGACUGCCCUACGGGUUGUAAACUUCUUUUAUAAAGGAAUAAAGUGAGGCACGUGUGCCUUUUUGUAUGUACGUUAUGAAUAAGGAUCGGCUAACUCCGUGCCAGCAGCCGCGGUAAUACGGAGGAUCCGAGCGUUAUCCGGAUUUAUUGGGGUGAAAGGGAGCGUAGAUGGGUUGUUAAGUCAGUUGUGCAAGUUUGCGGCUCAACCGUAAAAUUGCAAUUGAUACUGGCAUUCUUUCUUACAGUUGCGGUAGGCGGCCUUCGUGUUGUAGCG
rnacentral:rRNA from 1 species